rnacentral:rRNA from 1 species
GACGAACGCUGGCGGCGUGCUUAACACAUGCAAGUCGAACGGAAAGGCCCUUCGGGGUACUCGAGUGGCGAACGGGUGAGUAACACGUGGGUGAUCUGCCCUGCACUUUGGGAUAAGCCUGGGAAACUGGGUCUAAUACCGGAUAGGACUACGCGAUGCAUGUCGUGUGGUGGAAAGCUUUUGCGGUGUGGGAUGGGCCCGCGGCCUAUCAGCUUGUUGGUGAGGUUAUGGCUUACCAAGGCGACGACGGGUAGCCGGCCUGAGAGGGUGACCGGACACACUGGGACUGAGAGACGGCCCAGACUCCUACGGGAGGCAGCAGUGGGGAAUAUUGCACAAUGGGCGCAAGCCUGAUGCAGCGACGCCGCGUGAGGGAUGACGGCCUUCGGGUUGUAAACCUCUUUCAGCAGGGACGAAGCGCAAGUGACGGUACCUGUAGAAGAAGGACCGGCCAGCUACGUGCCAGCCGCCGCGGUAACAC